rnacentral:rRNA from 1 species
UACAGAGGGGGCAAGCGUUGUUCGGAAUUACUGGGCGUAAAGGGCGCGUAGGCGGCCGACUAAGUCAGACGUGAAAUCCCCCGGCUCAACCUGGGAACUGCGUCUGAUACUGAUCAGCUUGAAUCCGGGAGAGGGAUGUGGAAUUCCAGGUGUAGCGGUGAAAUGCGUAGAUAUCUGGAGGAACACCGGUGGCGAAGGCGGCAUCCUGGACCGGUAUUGACGCUGAUGCGCGAAAGCCAGGGGAGCAAACGGG